UACAGAGGUCUCAAGCGUUGUUCGGAUUCAUUGGGCGUAAAGGGUGCGUAGGCGGCGCGGUAAGUCGGGUGUGAAAUCUCGGAGCUUAACUCCGAAACUGCAUUCGAUACUGCCGCGCUUGAGGACUGGAGAGGAGACUGGAAUUUACGGUGUAGCGGUGAAAUGCGUAGAUAUCGUAAGGAAGACCAGUGGCGAAGGCGGGUCUCUGGACAGUUCCUGACGCUGAGGCACGAAGGCCAGGGGAGCAAACGGG
rnacentral:rRNA from 1 species